UACGGGAGGGGGCUAGCGUUGUUCGGAAUUACUGGGCGUAAAGCGCACGUAGGCGGCUUUGCAAGUUAGAGGUGAAAGCCCGGGGCUCAACUCCGGAAUUGCCUUUAAAACUGCAUCGCUAGAAUUGUGGAGAGGUAAGUGGAAUUCCGAGUGUAGAGGUGAAAUUCGUAGAUAUUCGGAAGAACACCAGUGGCGAAGGCGACUUACUGGACACAUAUUGACGCUGAGGUGCGAAAGCGUGGGGAGCAAACAGG
rnacentral:rRNA from 1 species